ACCAGUGUGGUGUAGUGGUUUGAGCACUGGAUUAUAACUCUGGAGACCAGGGUUUGAAUCCCUGAUUGGCC